ACAGAUCGUUCAGAGUUUGAUCCUGGCUCAGGAUGAACGCUAGCGGCAGGCUUAACACAUGCAAGUCGAGGGGCAGCAUGAACCGACCUUCGGGAAGGUUUGAUGGCGACCGGCGCAAGGGUGCGUAACGCGUGAGCAACUUGCCCGUUUCUGGGGAAUAACCGGUGGAAACGCCGACUAAUACCCCAUAGCAUUGACUUUGGGCAUCCUUAGUCAAUUAAAGAAUUUCGGAAACGGAUAGGCUCGCGUGACAUUAGCUGGAUGGCGGGGUAACGGCCCACCAUGGCUACGAUGUCUAGGGGUUCUGAGAGGAAGGUCCCCCACACUGGAACUGAGACACGGUCCAG
rnacentral:rRNA from 1 species